CUCUCUUUUUAGUCCUUACCAAGAUAAUUGAGGAUCAUAAUGCUGAAAAAGAACUGCAGUCAUCAUUCGCUUGCCUGUCAGGUAUCAGUACUCAUCUUCAUGUCAUCCGUCACCACUGAACCAAUCUGUCAUCUUUCCACAGCCCUCAGCGCCGCUCCUUCUCAUCGUGUUCAUUAUCUCCAGCUCAGACCAAUACCCCCCUCCCCCCAACCCUGUAAAUGCAUC